rnacentral:rRNA from 1 species
CCUACGGGAGGCAGCAGUGGGGAAUAUUGGGCAAUGGGCGAAAGCCUUACCCAGCAAUGCCGCGUGAGUGAAGAAGGUCUUCGGAUUGUAAAGCUCUUUGAUCAGGGACGAACACAAUGACGGUACCUGAAGAACAAGCCCCGGCUAACUACGUGCCAGCAGCCGCGGUAAUACGUAGGGGGCAAGCGUUGUCCGGAAUGACUGGGCGUAAAGGGUGUGUAGGCGGGCUCGCAAGUUGGAUGUGUAAUACCCAGAGCUUAACUCGGGUGCUGCAUCUGAAACUACGAGUCUUGAGUGUCGGAGAGGUAAGUGGAAUUCCUAGUGUAGCGGUGGAAUGCGUAGAUAUUAGGAGGAACAUCAGUGGCGAAGGCGACUUACUGGACGAUAACUGACGCUGAGGCACGAAAGCGUGGGGAGCAAACAG